UACGGAGGGGGCUAGCGUUGUUCGGAAUUACUGGGCGUAAAGCGCACGUAGGCGGCUUUGUAAGUUAGAGGUGAAAGCCCAGGGCUCAACCCUGGAAUUGCCUUUAAGACUGCAUCGCUUGAACAUCGGAGAGUAAGUGGAAUUCCGAGUGUAGAGGUGAAAUUCGUAGAUAUUCGGAAGAACACCAGUGGCGAAGGCGACUUACUGGACGAUUGUUGACGCUGAGGUGCGAAAGCGUGGGGAGCAAACAGG
rnacentral:rRNA from 1 species